CGCUUUUGGUUUACAAACAAUGCAUCUCAUUUCUUUGAUCGAAAAUAUAAAAAAAAGAGAAACAAAAGCCGGAGCCAGCGACAUCGCUCGAGUUUAUUCAAUCUUGGCGACAAGACUGAGUGUUUGCAGAACCAUAGGAGUAUCGUUGGAAAAGACGAUGACAGGGUAAUGGCUUAAACACACGAAUUGUAUUUAGGAAGACGUGUCGGCCAAACUAUUGCAAGUUUGAUUGUUCAGCAUAAUGUUAGAACAACAAACUCUUCACCUAUGCACGGUCAUCAGCCCCCGCCAGGUCCAGUCCUGUCAUUUGUGUCACAAGGAAGUACCACACCUGGUCAUGUGUCAGGAAUUGGAGAGAUAACAUCUUACUUAGAAGUAAAUUGAAGGCAGCCAACAAUUGGACGGUGGUGCCAAUCAAUGAAAAGAAGGGAUACACGUACAUGCACUGAGGACACAGAGAUCAUCAAGGAAAAAAAACCUUCGAUCAAAGUUCCUUUUUGAUUCAGCUUAUCCAAAGCUGAUUGCCUCUACAAUUGCCCCUUAUAUAUCCACCUGCGGCUAAUGAGGAGCUGCAAUAUCCAAUAGGUCAAGGGCAAGCAACCCGGAAACAAUAUGAAGAUUUACUCAUACAAAUUGGUACAUGGUGUAUGUAACUAUGUUGUUUUAACUAACUUCAACAUAACUGACUAUGGGUAGGAACAUGUUGUGUGACUUUGGCAGCAUGGUUUAAUUGGAUGUAUACCAUUGAGUAUAAAAGUGCAUGUGUGACCCUGGCUGUUUUUUCAGUCAGUAGAUGACUUUAGUAUUUGAAAUGAUGCUUGAAUUUAUUUGUGUAAUAUGAAGGCGUGACCAAAUGUGUGACAUUAUGGUCGACUGUCCUGUCAUCAUCAUGGUGAUAAAAUGUGAUUUUAAUAAGUGAACUGCUUAUAAACAUAGGGCAGAAAUAUCAUUGAUAAAAUACUGAUGAACAUAGCAUACAAGUGCCCUGAAAUGCCAUGAGAAUAUGUAUUUGAGUUUUAAGUGUGUAAGGUAUUGUGAAUUUUGUUAAUUGUUUUGUUUUAAAAAUAUAGGAUCCAAAGUAUUCAAUCAUAGAUCACUCUGAAAAAGAAGAAUAAGUAAAAACCUUGUCUGGCAAAUAACUACAUAAAUAAUGGGCCAAGUUCCAGAUUUUUUUUGUCACAAGUCAAGACCAUUAACAGGAAUUGUUGACUCUUAUAGGUGUUAUGUAUCAUGAUUUGUGUUAAGUUUUUGAUGGGAGACCCAUGAUCAAACAUGGUGAAUUAAUUGUUUUGUUAAUACAAUAGAGGAUCCAAAGUAUUUGAUCAUAGGUAACUCUGAAACAGAAGAAUUUGUGAAAACCUUGUCUGGCAAAUAGCUAAAUAAACACUGGGCUCAGCAUUUUCCUGAUUUUUUGUCACAAGUAAAGACUAUGAAAAGGAAUUAUUGACUCUUUUAGGUAUAAGCUACCAUAGUCAAUGUUGAGUGCGUGCUGCACACCACAUUUGUUUAUGUUCCAUUAACAAUGACAUCAAAGCACAAUGCUAUAUAUAGAUUAUGUAUUGUUUUCCAUUGUUUAUCAGUCUAUAAACAACCAUUUAUUGUAAUAGCCUUACAUAAACUGUCAUAAAGAUGAUAAAGUGCUGUUAAUCCAUAAAUAAA